rnacentral:rRNA from 1 species
CUACGGGUCGCUGCCGUGAGGAAUAUUGCACAAUGGGGGGAACCCUGAUGCAGCAACGCCGCGUGGAGGAUGACGCAUUUCGGUGUGUAAACUCCUUUUAUAUGUCAAGAAAAUGACGGUAGCAUAUGAAUAAGCACCGGCUAACUCCGUGCCAGCAGCCGCGGUAAUACGGAGGGUGCAAGCGUUACUCGGAAUCACUGGGCGUAAAGGACGCGUAGGCGGGUUGGAAAGUCAGGUGUGAAAUCCUACAGCUUAACUGUAGAACUGCACUUGAAACUUCUAAUCUAGAGUAUGGGAGGGGGAGAUGGAAUUAGUGGUGUAGGGGUAAAAUCCGUAGAUAUCACUAGGAAUACCUAAAGCGAAGGCGAUCUCCUGGAACAUUACUGACGCUAAGGCGUGAGAGCGUGGGGAGCAAACAGGAUUAGAUACCCCUGUAGUC